AUAUUUACCUGGCAUAGGGGAUACCGUGAUCAUGCAGGCGGUUCCCCCAGGGCGAGGCUGCUCCAUUGCACUGCGGAGUGAUUGACCCUUGCGAUUAUUUUUAUUUCUAUCAAUAAAAAAUCGUAUUAAAAAAUGUAUUCCCGAAUAAUGAUUAUC
rnacentral:snRNA from 1 species